GCGUGAGUGAAGAAGGCCUUCGGGUUGUAAAGCUCUUUUACCCGGGAUGAUAAUGACAGUACCGGGAGAAUAAGCUCCGGCUAACUCCGUGCCAGCAGCCGCGGUAAUACGGAGGGAGCUAGCGUUGUUCGGAAUUACUGGGCGUAAAGCGCACGUAGGCGGCUUUGUAAGUUAGAGGUGAAAGCCUGGAGCUCAACUCCAGAACUGCCUUUGAUACUGCAUGGCUUGAAUCCAGGAGAGGUGAGUGGAAUUCCGAGUGUAGAGGUGAAAUUCGU
rnacentral:rRNA from 1 species